GCCCCCGUAGCCCAACGGCAGAGGCAGACCUCUUAAACAGGUUUCAGUGUGGGUUCGAGUCCCACCGGGGGUA
rnacentral:tRNA from 1 species